GCGGGAUGAGGUAGUAGGUUGUGUGGUUUCAGGGGAGUGAUUUUGCCCCAAUCAGAAGAUAACUAUACAGCCUACUGCCUUCCCUGG
rnacentral:pre_miRNA from 13 species